rnacentral:rRNA from 1 species
GAUGAACGCUGGCGGCGUGCUUAACACAUGCAAGUCGAACGGUGAAGGAGAGCUUGCUCUCCGGAUCAGUGGCGAACGGGUGAGUAACACGUGAGCAAUCUGCCCCUGACUCUGGGAUAAGCGUUGGAAACGACGUCUAAUACCGGAUACGAGCUGCGAAGGCAUCUUCAGCAGCUGGAAAGAACUUCGGUCAGGGAUGAGCUCGCGGCCUAUCAGCUAGUUGGUGAGGUAAUGGCUCACCAAGGCGUCGACGGGUAGCCGGCCUGAGAGGGUGACCGGCCACACUGGGACUGAGACACGGCCCAGACUCCUACGGGAGGCAGCAGUGGGGAAUAUUGCACAAUGGGCGAAAGCCUGAUGCAGCAACGCCGCGUGAGGGACGACGGCCUUCGGGUUGUAAACCUCUUUUAGCAGGGAAGAAGCGAAAGUGACGGUACCUGCAGAAAAAGCACCGGCUAACUACGUG